rnacentral:rRNA from 1 species
GACGAACGCUGGCGGCGUGCCUAAUACAUGCAAGUAGGACGCAGUUGCGAACGGGUGAGUAACGCGUCGGUCACUGCCUGUUAUAGGGGGCUAACUAUUGGAAACGAUAGCUCAUACCGCAUACUAGUAGAUGGACCUGCGUUGUAUUUGGUAGUAGGUGGGGUAAUGGCCUACCUAGGCGACGAUACAUAGCCGACGUGAGAUGGUGGUCGGGCAAACUGGGAAUUGGACACGGCCCAGACUCCUACGGGAGGCAGCAGUAGGGAAGCUUCGGCAAUGGGGGGAACCCUGAACGAGCAACGCCGCGGGAGUGAAGAAGGUUUUCGGAGCGUAAAGCUCUGUUGUGAAGGAAGCGGUACUUAACCAGAAAGGGACGGCUAACUACGUGCCAGCAGCCGCGGUAAUAC